rnacentral:lncRNA from 1 species
GAAACUGGGGAUGAUGAUGGACAUGAACUUGGAGAUGAAGGUGAAGAUCAGGAUGCUGAUGCAGGAGAGGAAGAGGAUGCUGAUGCAGGAGAGGAGGAUGAAGAAGAAGAAGAGCCCGAGACAAAUGAUGGUGCUGAAAAUAAUGACGAUGAGGAUGGUGAGGAUGAUGACGAUGAGAAUGACGAGGAUGAUGACGAUGAGAAUGACGAGGACGAGGACGAGGAUGAGGAUGAGGACGAAGAACCAGACGAGGACGAGGAGGAGGAAAUUCCCCAGCCACCAGCAAAAAAGAGGAAGGACGAGGAGGAAGACCCAGAAGAGGAUGACGAGGAGAUUCCCCAGCCACCAGCUAAAAAGAGGAAAUGAG